rnacentral:rRNA from 1 species
ACGGGGUGCAGCAGGCGCGAAACCUCCGCAAUGCACGCAAGUGCGACGGGGGGACCCCAAGUGCCACUCUUAACGGGGUGGCUUUUCAGGAGUGUAAAAAGCUCCUGGAAUAAGGGCUGGGCAAGACCGGUGCCAGCCGCCGCGGUAACACCGGCAGCUCGAGUGGUAGCCGCGUUUAUUGGGCCUAAAGCGUCCGUAGCCGGUCCGAUAAGUCUCUGGUGAAAGCCCACAGCUCAACUGUGGGGAUCGCUGGAGAUACUAUCGGACUUGAGGCCGGGAGAGGCUGGAGGUACUCCCAGGGUAGGGGUGAAAUCCUAUAAUCCUGGGAGGACCACCUGUGGCGAAGGCGUCCAGCUGGAACGGACCUGACGGUGAGGGACGAAAGCCAGGGGCGCGAACCGGAUUAGAUACCCGGGUAGUCCUGGCCGUAAACGAUGCGGACUUGGUGUUGGGAUGGCUUUGAGCUGUCCCAGUGCCGAAGGGAAGCUGUUAAGUCCGCCGCCUGGGAAGUACGGCCGCAAGGCUGAAACUUAAAGGAAUGGCGGGGGAG